CCUACGGGGUGCUGCAGUGAGGAAUAUUGGUCAAUGGACGAGAGUCUGAACCAGCCAAGUAGCGUGAAGGAUGACUGCCCUAUGGGUUGUAAACUUCUUUUAUAUGGGAAUAAAAUGUUCCACGUGUGGGAUUUUGUAUGUACCAUAUGAAUAAGGAUCGGCUAACUCCGUGCCAGCAGCCGCGGUAAUACGGAGGAUCCGAGCGUUAUCCGGAUUUAUUGGGUUUAAAGGGAGCGUAGGUGGAUUGUUAAGGCAGUUGUGAAAGUUUGCGGCUCAACCGUAAAAUUGCAGUUGAAACUGGCAGUCUUGAGUACAGUAGAGGUGGGCGGAAUUCGUGGUGUAGCGGUGAAAUGCUUAGAUAUCACGAAGAACUCCGAUUGCGAAGGCAGUUCACUGGACUGCAACUGACACUGAGGCUCGAAAGUGUGGGUAUCAAACAGGAUUAGAUACCCCUGUAGUC
rnacentral:rRNA from 1 species